rnacentral:tRNA from 1 species
GCUCAGACGGUAAAGUGUCUGCCUGCAAUGCAGGAGACCCAGGUUUGAUCCCUGG